CUACGGGGCGCUCCAGUAAGGAAUUUUGCGCAAUGGGGGAAACCCUGACGCAGCAACGCCGCGUGAGUGAUGAAGGCCUUCGGGUCGUAAAGCUCUGUCGAGUGGGAAGAAAAAUCUGAUGUUAAUACCAUCAGAAAUUGACGGUACCACUGAAGGAAGCACCGGCUAACUCCGUGCCAGCAGCCGCGGUAAUACGGGGGGUGCAAGCGUUAUUCGGAAUUAUUGGGCGUAAAGAGCGCGUAGGCGGCCCUUUAAGUCAGAUGUGAAAGCCCGGGGCUUAACCCCGGAAGUGCAUUUGAAACUAAAGGGCUUGAGUAUGGGAGAGGGAAGUGGAAUUCCUGGUGUAGAGGUGACAUCCGUAGAUAUCAGGAGGAACACCGGUGGCGAAGGCGACUUCCUGGACCAAUACUGACGCUGAGGCGCGAAGGCGUGGGGAGCAAACAGGAUUAGAUACCCCAGUAGUC
rnacentral:rRNA from 1 species